UGACCAGACUCCUACGGGAGGCAGCAGUGAGGAAUAUUGGUCAAUGGGCGGGAGCCUGAACCAGCCAAGUCGCGUGAGGGACGACGGUCCUAUGGAUUGUAAACCUCUUUUGUCGGGGAACAAAGGCGCCCACGGGUGGGCGGAUGAGUGUACCCGAAGAAAAAGCAUCGGCUAACUCCGUGCCAGCAGCCGCGGUAAUACGGAGGAUGCGAGCGUUAUCCGGAUUUAUUGGGUUUAAAGGGUGCGUAGGCGGACGCUUAAGUCAGCGGUAAAAUUGCGGGGCUCAACCUCGUCGAGCCGUUGAAACUGGGUGCCUUGAGUGGGCGAGAAGUACGCGGAAUGCGUGGUGUAGCGGUGAAAUGCAUAGAUAUCACGCAGAACUCCGAUUGCGAAGGCAGCAUACCGGCGCCCGACUGACGCUGAGGCACGAAAGCGUGGGUAUCGAACAGGAUUAGAUACCCCAGUACGG
rnacentral:rRNA from 1 species